CACACAGACCUGGCCAGUCUGAGGAAUGACGCAGAGUAUCUGAAGACAGAGAAGAUAGACAAUGGCUUCCGUGUGUGGGUUGGUCUCUUCAGAGACGACUGGGUGUGGUCAGACAAGACUUACUCCUCGUUGAGAUACUGGCAUGCAGAACACAAACUCUAUAGUGAAGAUCUUGAAGAAUGUGGUGUUUUGUUGAAGAGCAAAUCUGGUAGAUGGGGAAGUCGACCAUGUGCAGAAACACAUCCGUUCCUUUGUAACUGCCCCCAGCAGAACUGGUCCAUCAAAGUGAAGAUCAUCCCACAGGACGCAGCGUUGGACCUAAAUGAACCUGCAGUGCAAGACGCCAUCUUGGAGCAAAUGAGACAGGAGCUGAGUGAGACACUGACUGAUCCUUUUCAGCUGAAAUGGAAAAAGCAGCCUAAUGGAAAGGUUUUUAACAAAGAGACUUGAGGAAAUAGAGAAGAACAUAAACAGCAACUCUGACUUUCAAGGAUCUAAAGCAGGGCUGCCCAAAGUGCUGUUUAUAGCAAGAAACUAUCAAAAAGGCAUUUUUAAAAAGAGAAUAUAAAUCACUCAGUGUGCUGUUUUAUCCCUAAUGAGUAAUACAUGUCGUCAUGUUGUAUGAAAUUCAUAGAGCUAAAAUAUUUACUAAUAGAGUAAUGUUACUGCUAUGUAAUGUGUUCAGUGUGAAUAUGUACUGUGUGUAAAACAUGCAUAUAAAAUAUUAAUGUGAUAUUAAUAAGAGGACAUAAACUGGUGACAUAAUAGUGAGUAAACUUAUACAAAAUGUGCUUAUAUUCACACUAACAUGUCUGCAUGAGUGCAGUUGUUAUUACCUCUUGUUAGAUACAUAAUACUUUGUGUUGUGUGUGUGUUUUUAUUGAUUACGGAUUAUAGCCUACAUAAAUUACAUAAACUGUUUUGCUUACAUUAAAUGUAUUCAUUAGUGAGAGGUAUAGGAGAAAUUAGGCUCUUUGCUGAAUUUUAAAGUAGCUUUUAAGUAACUUUGGUUUUAAUGUCUGUUUGUUGUCUGUCUUUGUCAGUGCUAUAUGCUGUACAGAUACAUUGUUUGCGAUUUGCAAUAUUGUUCAAUAAAACUGACUUGAAUUGACUGUAACUAAUACAUAAUAAAUGAAAAACUACUAGUACUACGUCUACUUUCAGUGU
rnacentral:lncRNA from 15 species